rnacentral:misc_RNA from 1 species
GUAUCCUUUUUUGCUAAUGCUUCCUUUCGGAAUUAGCGCAUAUUACGUGGGUAGCUUGCUUUAAGUUAUAGCAUAUAACAGUUCACAGUUUUCAAAAGGAAGUGUUUCCCCUUGGUUAUGGAAAUGAUCCUUCCGCAGGUUCACCUACGGAAA